GAUGAACGCUGGCGGCGUGCCUAAUACAUGCAAGUCGAGCGAACAGACGAGGAGCUUGCUCCUCUGACGUUAGCGGCGGACGGGUGAGUAACACGUGGAUAACCUACCUAUAAGACUGGGAUAACUUCGGGAAACCGGAGCUAAUACCGGAUAAUAUAUUGAACCGCAUGGUUCAAUAGUGAAAGACGGUUUUGCUGUAACUUAUAGAUGGAUCCGCGCCGCAUUAGCUAGUUGGUAAGGUAACGGCUUACCAAGGCGACGAUGCGUAGCCGACCUGAGAGGGUGAUCGCCCACACUGGAACUGAGACACGGUCCAGACUCCUACGGGAGGCAGCAGUAGGGAAUCUUCCGCAAUGGGCGAAAGCCUGACGGAGCAACGCCGCGUGAGUGAUGAAGGUCUUCGGAUCGUAAAACUCUGUUAUUAGGGAAGAACAAAUGUGUAAUUAACUAUGCACUUCUUGACGGUACCUAAUCAGAAAGCAACGGCUAACUACGUG
rnacentral:rRNA from 1 species